CCUACGGGAGGCAGCAGUAGGGAAUCUUCCACAAUGGGCGAAAGCCUGAUGGAGCAACGCCGCGUGGGUGAAGAAGGUCUUCGGAUCGUAAAACCCUGUUGUUAGAGAAGAAAGUGCGUGAGAGUAACUGUUCACGUUUCGACGGUAUCUAACCAGAAAGCCACGGCUAAAUACGUGCCAGCAGCCGCGGUAAUACGUAGGUGGCAAGCGUUAUCCGGAUUUAUUGGGCGUAAAGGGAACGCAGGCGGUCUUUUAAGUCUGAUGUGAAAGCCUUCGGCUUAACCGGAGUAGUGCAUUGGAAACUGGGAGACUGGAGUGCAGAAGAGGAGAGUGGAACUCCAUGUGGAGCGGUGAAAUGCGUAGAUAUAUGGAAGAACACCAGUGGCGAAAGCGGCUCUCUGGUCUGUAACUGACGCUGAGGUUCGAAAGCGUGGGUAGCAAACAGGAUUAGAUACCCGGGUAGUC
rnacentral:rRNA from 1 species